rnacentral:rRNA from 1 species
GUAGGUGGGCAAGCGUUGUCCGGAAUUAUUGGGCGUAAAGCGCGCGCAGGGCGGUCCUUUAAGUCUGAUGUGAAAAGCCCACGGCUCAACCGUGGAGGGUCAUUGGAAACUGGGGGACUUGAGUACAGAAGAGGAAAGCGGAAUUCCAAGUGUAGCGGUGAAAUGCGUAGAGAUUUGGAGGAACACCAGUGGCGAAGGCGGCUUUCUGGUCUGUAACUGACGCUGAGGCGCGAAAGCGUGGGGAGCAAACAGGAUUAGAUACCCUGGUAGUCCACGCCGUAAACGAUGAGUGCUAAGUGUUAGGGGGUUUCCGCCCCUUAGUGCUGCAGCUAACGCAUUAAGCACUCCGCCUGGGGAGUACGGCCGCAAGGCUG